UACAGAGGUCUCAAGCGUUGUUCGGAUUCAUUGGGCGUAAAGGGUGUGUAGGUGGCGCGCUAAGUCGGGUGUGAAAUUUCGGAGCUUAACUCCGAAACUGCAUUCGAUACUGGCGUGCUUGAGGACUGGAGAGGAGACUGGAAUUCAUGGUGUAGCAGUGAAAUGCGUAGAUAUCGAGAGGAACACCUGCGGCGAAGGCGGGUUGCUGGGCUGAUACUGACGCUGAGGCGCGAAAGCUAGGGGAGCGAACGGG
rnacentral:rRNA from 1 species